AGUGAACGCUGGCGGCGUGCUUAACAUAUGCAAGUCGAACGAGAACGGAAUAUAGCUUGCUAUAUUUGUCAGCUAAGUGGCGCACGGGUGAGUAAUGUAUAGAUAACCUGCCCUUAAGAAAGGACUAACAGUUGGAAACGACUGCUAAUGCCCUAUAUGCCUUUAAUACAUAAGUAUGCAAGGGAGACGUUUUAGUGCUUAAGGAUGGGUCUGUAUGGUAUCAGCUUGUUGGUUAGGUAAUGGCUCACCAAGGCUAUGACGCCUAACUGGUUUGAGAGGAUGAUCAGUCACACUGGAACUGAGACACGGUCCAGACUCCUACGGGAGGCAGCAGUGGGGAAUAUUGCACAAUGGACGAAAGUCUGAUGCAGCAACACCGCGUGGAGGAUGACACAUUUCGGUGCGUAAACUCCUUUUAUAUAGGAAGAUAAUGACGGUACUAUAUGAAUAAGUACCGGCUAACUCCGUGCCAGCAGCCGCGGUAA
rnacentral:rRNA from 1 species